CCCCUUUCAGGGUCGCAUCUGGAGAGUUUCCAGUACUCUACCAGUCAUGACUACAACAGGGAGAGUCAAGCAGAGGCAUCCCUAUUUCAUUCCUAGCUUAGGCAGUGGCUAGCAAGGGGAAGGCAAUCUGCUACAAGU